CGGACGGGUGAGUAAUGUCUGGGAAACUGCCUGAUGGAGGGGGGAUAACUACUGGAAACGGUAGCUAAUACCGCAUAACGUCGCAAGACCAAGAGGGGGACCUUCGGGCCUCUUGCCAUCAGAUGUGCCCAGAUGGGAUUAGCUAGUAGGUGGGGUAACGGCUCACCUAGGCGACGAUCCCUAGCUGGUCUGAGAGGAUGACCAGCCACACCGGAACUGAGACACGGUCCAGACUCCUACGGGAGGCAGCAUG
rnacentral:rRNA from 1 species